rnacentral:rRNA from 1 species
GACGAACGCUGGCGGCGUGCUUAACACAUGCCAGUCGAACGGAAAGGCCCAGCUUGCUGGGUGCUCGAGUGGCGAACGGGUGAGUAACACGUGGGUGAUCUGCCCCUAACUUCGGGAUAAGCUUGGGAAACUGGGUCUAAUACCGGAUAGGACAAUCGUUUAGUGUCGGUUGUGGAAAGUUUUUUCGGUUAGGGAUGAGCCCGCGGCCUAUCAGCUUGUUGGUGGGGUAAUGGCCUACCAAGGCGUCGACGGGUAGCCGGCCUGAGAGGGUGGACGGCCACAUUGGGACUGAGAUACGGCCCAGACUCCUACGGGAGGCAGCAGUGGGGAAUAUUGCACAAUGGGCGCAAGCCUGAUGCAGCGACGCCGCGUGGGGGAUGACGGCCUUCGGGUUGUAAACCUCUUUCGACAGGGACGAAGCUUUGGUGACGGCACCUGUAUAAGAAGCACCGGCUAACUACGUG